UACAGAGGAUCCAAGCGUUAUCCGGAUUUAUUGGGUUUAAAGGGUGCGUAGGCGGAUUGAUAAGUUAGAGGUGAAAUGUCCGAGCUCAACUCGGGAACUGCCUCUAAUACUGUUGAUCUAGAGAGUAGAUGCGGUAGGCGGAAUGUAUGGUGUAGCGGUGAAAUGCUUAGAGAUCAUACAGAACACCGAUUGCGAAGGCAGCUUACCAAUCUAUAUCUGACGUUGAGGCACGAAAGCGUGGGGAGCAAACAGG
rnacentral:rRNA from 1 species